GUAGUAUUCCCUCCGUCCCAAAAUUCAUGUCUUACAUUUGUUUAGAUACAGAUGUAUCUAACACUAAAAUGUAACUAGAUACAUCCGUAUUUAGACAAAUUUAAGACAAGAAUUUUGGGACGGCGGGAGUACAAA
rnacentral:pre_miRNA from 1 species